rnacentral:rRNA from 1 species
AGAGUUUGAUCCUGGCUCAGGACGAACGCUGGCGGCGUGCCUAACACAUGCAAGUGGAGCGACGAACCGGGCUUCGGCCCGGGGCAAAGCCGCGAACGGGUGAGUAACACGUGGGUAACCUGCCCUGAUGAUCGGGACAACCCGAGGAAACUCGGGCUAAUACCGGAUGUGCCCUCCGACCUCAAGGUCGCUGGGGAAAGGAAGCUUCGGCCUCCGCAUCGGGAUGGGCCCGCGGCCCAUUAGCUUGUUGGUGAGGUAACGGCUCACCAAGGCAACGAUGGGUAGCUGGUCUGAGAGGACGAUCAGCCACACUGGGACUGAGACACGGCCCAGACUCCUACGGGAGGCAGCAGUGGGGAAUCUUGCGCAAUGCGCGAAAGCGUGACGCAGCAACGCCGCGUGGGGGAAGACGGCCUUCGGGUUGUAAACCCCUUUCAGUUGGGACGAAGCUUUGGCGGUGAAUAGCCGUUUGGAGUGACGGUACCUUCAGAAGAAGCCCCGGCUAACUACGUGCCAGCAGCCGCGGUAAUACGUAGGGGGCAAGCGUUGUCCGGAAUCAUUGGGCGUAAAGAGCGUGUAGGUGGCUCGGUAAGUCCGCUGUGAAAGUCCAGGGCUCAACCCUGGAAUGCCGGUGGAAACUGUCGAGCUAGAGUCCGGAAGAGGCGAGUGGAAUUCCUGGUGUAGCGGUGAAAUGCGCAGAUAUCAGGAGGAACACCAAUGGCGAAGGCAGCUCGCUGGGACGGUACUGACACUGAGACGCGAAAGCGUGGGGAGCAAACAGGAUUAGAUACCCUAGUAGUCC